AACGAACGCUGGCGGCAUGCCUAACACAUGCAAGUCGAACGAGACCUUCGGGUCUAGUUGCGCACGGGUGCGUAACGCGUGGGAACCUGCCCUUAGGUUCGGAAUAACUCCCCGAAAGGGGUGCUAAUACCGGAUAAUGUCUUCGGACCAAAGAUUUAUCGCCUUUGGAUGGGGCCGCGUUGGAUUAGCUAGUUGGUAGGGUAAAAGCCUACCAAGGCGACGAUCCAUAGCUGGUCUGAGAGGAUGAUCAGCCACACUGGGACUGAGACACGGCCCAGACUCCUACGGGAGGCAGCAGUGGGGAAUAUUGGACAAUGGGCGAAAGCCUGAUCAAGCAAUGCCGCGUGAGUGAUGAAGGCCUUAGGGUUGUAAAGCUAUUUUACCCGGGAUGAUAAUGACAGUACCGGGAGAAUAAGCUCCGGCUAACUCCGUG
rnacentral:rRNA from 1 species